GGUGAGGUGGCCGAGUGGUUGAAGGCGCACGCCUGGAAAGCGUGUGUACGUUAAUAGCGUACCGAGGGUUCGAAUCCCUCUCUCACCGCCA
rnacentral:tRNA from 3 species